ACUGAGGAGAUUGGCAAGCGGCCCAGCCCUAGGUCCCCACCCCCCGAUUCCUCUCCCUCUCCCUUUCCCUCGUCUACCGCCGCCGCCACCGAUGUCCUCGCCAUAGCCGCCGCCAACACCGCCGCCCACGCCCUCCCCAGUGGCUGACGCUCCCACCCCUUCUCUCCUCCCCUUACCUUCUUACCAUCCACGACGUCCUCCCCUCUCCCUGGCACCAGAUCGAGCAGCAGGCCAGGAUCCGACGCAGGCUCAGAUCCGGCACGCCCAAAGCUCUGGUUCCCGUUGAGGAGGCCAUGGAUAAGAUGCUCUGCCCCUAGUGCUGCAGCCAUGGACAAGAUGUGUGCAGAUCGGACAAAGAAGAGAAGAUGAAGGACCUUGAGGAAGAGUUAAGAACAAGGUGAUCUCUCUCUCUCCCUCUCUCCCGCUCUCUGAUUUGCAUAGGUUAUUUUCAUGUUGCACUGGUCAUCUCUCCACGUGAUUGAGCUGACAUGGUCAUGGCACUUAUGCAAUUCCUCACGGCAAACCCCUUCUUGUUGGUUGCAAAGGCAGAUCGCACGACCUCACAGAAGUUGUUAGUCUUCACCUGCAUUUGCUUUUGGCUUAAAAACUUUCUUCAACUUUUGCAUUCCUUUUUCAUGAUUGCACACAUCAUGUGAAUAUUCUAUCCAUGUGGUGAUAGUUGUGAGCUACAACUCACCUUUGAAGUAUUCUGUGAAUACUAUGCCCAGAUGUUUAUAAUUUUAGUGUUCACUUGAUUACUUGUGAGAAAGGAGCUUGAACAAGUCUACAGUAUAUGUUAUUGUUGUAAUUAAGCAUGCCAUGUGAAAUUAUAGCUAUUCUUUUUUGGUAUUAUUGUUGAUCCUUGUUUAUGCUGGAGAUGCUCCAUAUCCAUUUUUCACAUAUGUUAAUCACUAAUUGGCUACUAAAUGGCAGAUCUUUCAGGAAAAAUUUGGCGCCUCAAAUCUUGAAGAUUAGUUCUGAUUAGGUGCAGUAUCCAGUUUUUUGUCUACUACAUACGUGCUAAUUUUAGAAAUUGCAAAUUAGACCAUAUCAUUGGUGGAUUGGAAAAUAGAUUUCCUUUUAGAUUGGUGAGCUAUUGUGAACUUUAGAAGUCAGAUGUUGUGGAUGUUUCUAACAGGAAGAUGCUUGGACUUACUUAGUGUCACGACUUAUUCAGUAUUGGGUUCUACCAUUGAUUAUAAUAAGAGGUACUUUCUUCACGCAGUCUUCUUGAAGCCACAUUUUUUUUUUCGGCUGUGAUUCUCAGUCAACCUACUAGAAUAUAUGUAAGAGUUUACAAAGGUGUGUCUCACAUGCACGUCACAGCAAAAGAAUUACAAAUUGUUAGCACCUUAACUAUAUGUGAUAAGCAAGCUAGCAUAGGAUUGUAUGGUUUUAUUUUCUGGGUCAAAAACUUCAUUUAUGCAGUACAUCCUUUAAUUCUUGAUACAUUUCAUUAUUCAACUUUUUCAUUAACCAUACAAAAUAGUCAUCUUCCUUCAGAUUCAAGUGACCACACUGCUCGAGUCCGUGUCCGUGAUGCAGCUGGUGGAGUAUUAUUUUUAUGUGUUUUCUCCAUGUGGAUUUAACCUUACAUCUCCAGCGACCAACCUUUUGAUGUAGUAAAUAUCUACAACAUUGUUGGGCCUGUGAUUUUCUUAUCUGGCUCUUUUCAUUAUUUGUACCUUUUAUAGGCUGCAUAAUUGUGCUUGACUAACUAUAGUCCAGUUCUCAUAAAAUUCAAGCAGCAAAGCUUGCAGGCAUGUGUAUCUUAAAGGGAACCAAGUUCUGCAUAUAUUUUAUUUGCACAAAGCAUUUUUGACCUGUACAGUUCUAACAAAUUUGAGGUAAUCCUAUACUUGUGCUGAUUCAAUAGGAUAUUUUACUUGAACUAAUGCCUUAGUAUGUAUGUUCAUAAUUUGUGCAGAUCAUCACAUCCAGAUUAUUCAUUCCUUAACAAAAUGCACGUACUAGCUACUGUUUGAAGAUGGUGCUAUGCAAAAUGCAUAAGCUGGGGAUGGCGGCGGCGGCGGAGCAGCAGCAGGGAGGGGACGAGGGGCUCGAGGAGAUGAAACGAGAAGGGUUGCGUGUGCGGGUUUUCUUUUGCUACGUUGGCCAAUGGCAGCAUCGUCCAAUCGCCGGCUCCAUUCUUUUUUUCUUCUCACGCCCAAUCGCUAACGUGGCUAGCGUGAGGGAGCGCCCCUUCCACGUACGUUAUAAAAACCUAAAUACCGAUGUAGCUUCCCAGGUUUCUCUACACUCCGAUAAUUCAAAUUUUUGGCGACCCCUUAGUUUGUAUCUUCAGGAGUAUUGCCCACAUAUUUUUGUAAUCAAGAAACAUGCUUCUGUUCUAUUUCUUAGGUGAGAGAAUACUUGAUGCCCGAAA